rnacentral:rRNA from 1 species
CCUACGGGGGGCAGCAGUGAGGAAUAUUGGUCAAUGGACGAGAGUCUGAACCAGCCAAGUAGCGUGAAGGAUGACUGCCCUAUGGGUUGUAAACUUCUUUUAUAUGGGAAUAAAAUGUUCCACGUGUGGGAUUUUGUAUGUACCAUAUGAAUAAGGAACGGCUAACUCAGUGCCAGCAGCCGCGGUAAUACGGAGGAUCCGAGCGUUAUCCGGAUUUAUUGGGUUUAAAGGGAGCGUAGGUGGAUUGUUAAGUCAGUUGUGAAAGUUUGCGGCUCAACCGUAAAAUUGCAGUUGAAACUGGCAGUCUUGAGUACAGUAGAGGUGGGCGGAAUUCGUGGUGUAGCGGUGAAAUGCUUAGAUAUCACGAAGAACUCCGAUUGCGAAGGCAGUUCACUGGACUGCAACUGACACUGAGGCUCGAAAGUGUGGGUAUCAAACAGGAUUAGAUACCCCUGUAGUC